CAUAAAAAAUCAAGGCGCGACGCCGCGAGCUCGAGCCGCUCCGAAUUGGCAGACUCGCCCCUGAACGGCAUAAAACCCCGCAAACGAUAAAUAGGGAAGACCGUCAAAUCCUGUCCGUACACUUCAACACCGUCAAUGGAAAACGAGCAGGCUAUUCUGUAUGAAACCCUAAGUCCUCUCGGCGCUGGUGCCACCGACACGCCAACACCGCCUCCGUCGACCACUCCUCCGCCGCUGUCACAAGAUGAUGAACCGUACGUCAUCUUGCGAAGUGAGAUUUCGCUCUCAUCCGUUCGAUGCCCUUCUCCGGCAACAUUAGCUCCGGAUUACUUCUCUCUCGAUUUGAACGAUGCUGAGGAGACGAAAGGGACUCCGCCAUUUACUCCUCGUCCGCCGUCGCCUCCUCAGGCGCAGGAGGCUGCCAUUACUAAGCCUGAGAGGACCCUAGAAGGGAAUUGGUUUCGUGCUAAUUGUCGCUUCAAAAGCCCAAUGCUACAGCUCCAUAGAGAGAUAAUAGAUUUUUGUGACUUUUUAUCACCCACACCGGAAGAGCAAACAUCACGCAAUGCUGCCAUAGAAUCUGUUUCUGAUGUUAUAAAAUAUAUCUGGGGCAAUGCUAAGGUAGAAGUUUUUGGUUCUUUUAAGACGGGACUUUAUCUUCCAUCCAGCGAUGUUGACCCAAAUGGACGGACCUGGUUCUCAACAUCUUACACAAGUCCAAGCAAUAAGUUACAAUUACAAUUUACUGUCAAAACAACAAAGGUUGUGAUCUUGGGUUCAGAGAUCAGAAGUCCUCAGCUUGGCUUACAGGCUCUUUCUAGGGCCCUUUCUCAAAAAGGAAUCGCUAAGAAGAUACAGGUUAUUGCAAGGGCUCGGGUACCAAUUGUUAAAUUUGUAGAGAAGAAAAGUGGUGUUUCCUUUGAUAUAAGCUUUGACAUUCAAAGUGGGCCGAAGUCUGCAGAGUUUAUAACUGAUGCUAUAUCUAAAUGGCCCCCAUUACGACCCUUGUGUCUGAUUUUGAAAGUUUUUCUGCAGCAAAGAGAGUUGAACGAGGUGUACACUGGUGGAAUUGGUUCAUAUGCGCUCCUUGUCAUGCUCAUAGCAAUGUUGCAGAGUCAGCAAGAUCGACAGGCUUCUCCGGAAUAUAACCUGGGAAUUCUGCUGGUGAACUUUUUUGACGUAUAUGGUCGCAAGUUGAAUACAACUGAUGUUGGUGUAUCUUGCAAUGGGGGAGGCACUUUCUUCUUAAAAAGCAGCAAGGGGUUUUUAGUUAAAGGAAAGCCCUCUGUUAUUGCCAUUGAGGACCCACAGGAUCCAGAUAAUGACAUAGGGAAGAGCUCCUACAACUAUUUUCAGGUUAGAUCUGCUUUUGCAAUGGCUUUCACUACGUUGACAAAUGCAAAGGCCAUAAUGGGACUAGGCCCCAGCAGGAGCAUUCUUGGCACUAUAAUCAGACCCGAUGCAGUAUUGCUGGAACGGAAACGAGGGUCUAGCGGAGAACUAACACUUCAGACCUUGCUUCCAGGUGCUGGAGAGCCAUUGAAGCAACAAUUUUCCGACAAGCAGGAGAUUUAUUGUAAUUGGCAGUUAGAUGAUGAUGAAGAACCACUCCCACGGGGACAUGGGAUCUCUGAGGAUGGUUAUGCCCAAUUCUCGAGAAAGAAAAGAAGGGCUUCUAAGGAGAACAAGCCUGCGAAAAAGGUGAAAGAAAAUAGGGACAGACGUGAAGAAAUUGGCACAACUAAGGAGAGGAGUGCAAAGAAACAGCGUUGGAGACAUCACCAACGUAAUGGUGAUAGCAACAGACAAAGUGGUGGCGGUGGCGGAGGCUCAUCCUCUUCACAUCUUGUUUAUUAAUUAGUUUUAUGUGCUUAAAUAGUCUUCCGGGUUUCUAAGCGGAUGUAGUUCCUGCGAUUAGGUACUUCCCUCCGACCCUUCUUAUGAUACGAUUGCUAGAGCUUCCUUCUGUUGAAAUGUUUACAAUCAAGAGGGACCUGUUCAGUUUUGAGAGGCAGGCUCCUUGCCUCUUCUUUUAGCUUGCCUUUUUAUCCGUUCACUAGAAUUCUGAAUCGAGAAAAAGUAACUAAUGGUUGGGAUUGUGAUUCCUUUCCCACUUCCAUCAAUAUAGUGUUUUAUUUAUUUAUUUUUAAA